UUCUUUUUAUUGCUGCAUUUGUGUUCUACAAGACAGCCUCUUUCUCCAAGAUUAACAUUUCUUAUGAUUGUUCCUGACAAUGGAUCCACUUCCAGAGGCCCUGCUAAGGAUAACCAAAAAAGGGCAUGGAGCAGGCUGGUUUUGGCAGCCGGCAGGCAGUUUCAGAGCUUUUUAGAUCUUGGGUAUUCUGAUGAGUGAUUUCCUGAGCAUGCCUAGGGAAUGACAGGCAUCUCCACAGGCAGGCUGCAUCCACCUUGGCCGGGGUGUCGUCAUUGGCUGCCUAUUAGAAAAACGACAGGACAAUGCAUACCACCGCCUGCCGACUAUAAACAUAGGGAAUAUGUGUUCACUUAGCAUGGACUUCUGGGAGGGGCCAAGGAAGGGCGGUCUGGAGUUUUAUUGAAUAGAGCAGUGUGUAUUCGGCUGCCUGCCUGCUUGCUCUCUGACUGUGCUUCUGCUUAAAGAAAUCAGUCCUUCCUUUCCGACUUAGUCCUCAGGAAGAAGUUUCAGCCUACAAGGUAUCAUUGGAACAUUUCAAGAUCAUCAAAUCCAAUUCCGUAGGGACUGGUGAUCAACCAGAAGGCUCAGACAUCUGAUUGCUGACCUGUCCAGAAAUCGUCUGGGCUCCCUGAACCGGAAAUAACGCCAUGGAUGAUUUUGAACGUCGCAGAGAACUUAGAAGGCAAAAGAGGGAGGAGAUGCGACUCGAAGCAGAAAGGGACAGACCAACGUGUUAACACAAAGGGAGAACACGGGAGCAUCCUGCACCGUGCAUUUCAGCCACAGAUCACAUGGCCCGUCCGCAGGCCCGGCCCACGCCCUGACCGCCCGGCCCGGCCAGGUCUCUGUACCUCUCUGCCCCGCAGCCCCUUCCCAGCUGCGGACAUGCUGGGUGGAUCCGGAUCGCAUGGAAGACGCAGCCUGGCCGCGCUCUCCCAAAUUGCCUACCAGAGGAACGACGAUGAUGAAGAGGAGGCCGCCCGGGAACGGCGCCGCCGAGCCCGGCAGGAACGGCUGCGGCAGAAGCAGGAGGAAGAAUCCUUGGGACAGGUGACCGACCAGGUGGAGGUGAAUGCCCAGAACAGUGUGCCCAACGAGGAGGCCAAGACAACCACCGCAAACACUCAAGUGGAAGGGGAUGAUGAGGCCGCAUUCCUGGAGCGCCUGGCUCGGCGAGAGGAAAGACGCCAAAAACGCCUUCAGGAGGCUCUGGAGCGGCAGAAGGAGUUUGACCCAACAAUAACAGAUGCAAGUCUGUCGCUCCCAAGCAGAAGAAUGCAAAAUGACACAGCAGAAAAUGAAACCGCAGAGAAGGAAGAAAAAAGUGAAAGUCGCCAAGAAAGAUACGAGAUAGAGGAAUCAGAAACAAUCACCAAGUCCUACCAGAAGAAUGAUUGGAGGGAUGCUGAUGAAAACAAGAAGAACGACAAGGAAAAGGAGGAGGAGGAGGAAGAGAAAUCAAAGCGAGGGAGCACUGGAGAAAAUCAGGUAGAGGUGAUGGUAGAAGAGAAAACAACUGAAAGCCAGGAGGAAACGGUGGUAAUGGCAUUAAAAAAUGGGCAGGUCAGUUCAGAAGAGCCUCAGCCAGAGGAGGAGAGGGAACAAGGUUCAGAUGAGAGUCCCCGUCAUGAAAAGGUAGAAGAGGAAGACAGGGAAAGAGCUGAGGCAGAGACGGUAAGGUUGGAAGCAGAAGAAAGAGAAAGAAUUAAAGCUGAGCAAGACAAAAAGAUAGCAGAUGAACGUGCAAGAAUUGAAGCAGAAGAAAAAGCAGCUGCCCAAGAAAGAGAAAGGAGAGAAGAGGAGAGGGAAAGGAUGAGAGAGGAAGAGAAAAGGGCAGCAGAGGAGAGGCAGAGGGUAAAGGAGGAAGAGAAAAGGGCAGCAGAGGAGAGGCAGAGGAUAAAGGAGGAAGAGAAAAGGGCAGCAGAGGAGAGGCAGAGGGCCAGGGCAGAGGAGGAAGAGAAAGCUAAGAUAGAAGAGCAGAAACGUAACAAGCAGCUAGAAGAGAAAAAAAAUGCCACACAAGAGACAAAGAUAAAAGGGGAAAAGGUAAAAGUGAAAAUAGAAGGGAAAUGGGUAAAUGAAAAGAAAGUGCAAGAAGAUAAACUUCAGACAGCUGUCCCAAAGAAACAGGGAGAAGAAAAGGGAGCUAAAAGAGAAAAGUUUCAAGAAGACAAGCCUACCUUCAAAAAAGAAGAGAACAAAGAUGAAAAGAUUAAAAAGGACAAAGAACCCAAAGAAGAAGCUAAGAGCUUCCUGGAUCGGAAGAAAGGAUUUACAGAAGUUAAGUCACAGAAUGGAGAAUUCAUGACCCACAAACUUAAACAUACAGAGAAUACUUUCAGCCGUCCUGGAGGGAGGGCGAGCCUGGACACCAAGGAGGCCGAAGGCGCCCCCCAAGUGGAAGCCGGCAAGCGGCUGGAGGAGCUUCGUCGUCGUCGUGGGGAGACGGAGAGCGAAGAGUUUGAGAAGCUCAAACAGAAGCAGCAGGAGGCGGCUUUGGAGCUGGAGGAGCUCAAGAAAAAGAGGGAGGAGAGAAGGAAGGUUCUGGAGGAGGAAGAACAGAGGAGGAAGCAGGAGGAAGCCGAUCGAAAACUCAGAGAGGAGGAAGAGAAGAGAAGGCUAAAGGAAGAGAUUGAAAGGCGAAGAGCAGAAGCUGCUGAGAAACGCCAGAAGAUGCCAGAAGAUGGCUUGUCAGAUGACAAGAAACCAUUCAAGUGUUUCACUCCUAAAGGUUCAUCUCUCAAGAUAGAAGAGCGAGCAGAAUUUUUGAAUAAGUCUGUGCAGAAAAGCAGUGGUGUCAAAUCAACUCAUCAAGCAGCAGUAGUCUCCAAGAUUGACAGCAGACUGGAGCAGUAUACCAGUGCAAUUGAGGGAACGAAAAGUGCAAAACCUACAAAGCCGGCAGCCUCGGACCUUCCUGUUCCUGCUGAAGGAGUACGCAACAUCAAGAGCAUGUGGGAGAAAGGGAAUGUGUUUUCAUCCCCCGCUGCAGCAGCAGGCACCCCAAAUAAGGAAACUGCUGGCUUGAAGGUAGGCGUUUCCAGCCGCAUCAAUGAAUGGCUAACCAAAACCCCAGAUGGAAACAAGUCACCUGCUCCCAAACCUUCUCUGAACUUCUGUUCCUCACUCUUUGGUCUCUGGUUGAUUGGAAACCUGCUUCUCCUGCCUUCAUUUCUCCCUCUUCUUCCGGAGUGGGUCUUUCUCUAAAAUGUAGUCUGGUCAGGACUUGAGACCAGGAGACGUAUCCGGCAAGCGGAACCUCUGGGAAAAGCAAUCUGUGGACAAGGUCACUUCCCCCACUAAGGUUUGAAACAGUUCAAGAAAGAACCCAAGUUCAAGACGCGGGACAAGCUCAGUUGUAGAGAGCUAAUUUGCUCUGUUUUGUAUUUAUGUUGAUUUACUAAAUUGGGUUCAUUUUAUUUUUCAAUAUCCCAAUAAACCCAUGUAUAUUAUCACUAUAUUUAAUAAUCACAGUCUAGAGAUGUUCAUGGUAAAAGUACUGCCUUUGCACAGGAGCCUGUUUCUAAAGAAACCCAUGCUGUGAAAUAGAGACUUUUCUACUGAUCAUCAUAACUCUGUGUCUGAACAGUGAUACACCAACCACAUCUGAAGUCAACAAGAUCCAAGUUUAAAAUUGCCUGCGGAAUGUGUGCAGUAUCUAGAAAAAUGAACCGUAGUUUUUGUUUUUAUAAAUACAGAAGUCAUGUUGUUUCUGCACUUUAUAAUAAAGCAUGGAAGAAAUUAUCUUAGUAGGCAAUUGUAACACUUUUUGAAAGUAACCCAUUUCAGAUUUGAUAUACUGCAAUAAUGGUUGUCUUAAAAAAAAAAAAAAAGGAAAUGUAUUGUUAAGGUAUUACUUUUUUCAUGCUGAUUCAUAUCUAAAUUACAUUAUUAUGUUAGCUGACAGUGGUACUGAUUUUUUAGGUCGGUUGUUUUGUGGAUUUCUUUAGUAGUGAUAGUAGCCUGAACCACAUUUUAGAUAACUCAAUUAUGUAUGUCUGUGCAUACACAUAUACAAACACACUAAUGGUAGAAUGCUUUUUUAUGUGCUAGACUAUUAUAUUUAGUAGCAUGUCAUUGUAACUAGCCAAUAUCACAGCUUUUGAAAACUUAAAAAUCACAAUAUAUUAAUAUUUCAUAUUUGCCAGUAGAAAUAUGGCAGAUAGGCAUCAAUAUGUUUUCAAUGCCUGAUGACCUAUAAGAAGAAAGUAUUGGGGAAAAAAGAGAUUAGAAGUGUCACAAGGAGUUGAAAUUUUCUAAAAGACAUAGUAUUUAGUUUAUAAUUAAAUGCAAUCUUGAAGUCCAGUGUGAAUUUUAUUAAUGCUAUCAUCUCAAUCAAGCUAAAAGCCUGCUUAUUCAAAACAAGGAAGCUCACAAUAUGUCAUAAGAUCUUGUCUCUAAAAUGAAAAGACAAGAAAUUUAGUGACAAUAUUGUACAGAUUGCAAUUCCAUGUAUAAGUCUAAACAAAGACAAAUAACUUUGGCUAAAUGUCUGGAAACAGAGAAGUGAAGUGAGCAAAACCCAGUGUUUUGAAGUCAUGACAGUACUUUCAUCUUUAUAUACUCUGAAACUUUUUUUAAAUUAAGCUUUUCUACCUUUAUUUGUCAUUGGCACUUGUCAUAAGUUGACAAAGUGGUGAAAUUUCAAAGUUAUAUGUAACUUCUACUAGUUUUACUUUUUUCUCCAAGUCUCUUUUAACUCAUGAUUUUUAUACACACAAUCCAAAUCUUAUUACAGCCUCUAAGUCUUUAUUCUUCACAGUAGAUAAUGAACGAGUCCUCCAGUGUCCUGGCAAAAUGUUCUGGUAUAGUUGGAUACAUCUAGUGAAGUUAUAUAAACUCAUACCUCAGUGUACUUAACCAAAAUUGUGUGUCUCAAUUCCUAACACACUGAGGGAGCCUCUCCAAUAACUAUUUUCUUAUCUACAGUAUUCCUCCAGAAGUGCUAACUAGGGCAGGGCUGGCGUGAGAAGUGACCCCUGCAUUCCCAAGUCUAUUUUCCUCAUAAGUCUGUAAAGAACAGUUGAAUCUCCUAGCUUUAGCAAACCUGGGCCAAAAGAAGGAAAUCCACAAAGAAUGCACAAGUCAAACACUCAUGACAGAGUAGGCACAAGUCUACGAGAAGCUAAAUUAGAAUAUACAAACAGAAGUGCCCCAGGUAGCACUUACUCCCAUCAUUGGAGUGAAAUGGAUCAAAGUUUCAAUUAAGGCCUAUGGUAAAGUAACAUCGCUUUGUUGUAUUUUUGAACAAGAGCUUCUCCUGAUCACUAUUAUAUAUUUUUCUAGAAAAUCUUAAGUUCAGAAGAGAAUGUAUCACUCUUGACUUUUGUUCCAAUAUUUGGAUGGAGUAAGUUUUAGGGUAGAAUUUUGUUCAGUUUGGAUUUAAUCUUUUGAAAAGUAAAUUCCUUGUUUACUGGUUUGACUAUAAUUCUCUGUUAUCUUUAAGAGGUAAAACUGCAAGCCGACUAGCAUGUUCUGUGAAUCUGCCAUUCCUAAAAAUUUUAUAAACACUUGAUAUUUUUCACUGAUAAUUGAUCGCUGCGAUAAAAAUAUAUUGUGAAAAUGCAUCCACAAUAAAUGGAAUUCUU